GUUGGGUAGGGGAGCGUUCUGUAAGCCUGCGAAGGUGUACUGUGAGGUAUGCUGGAGGUAUCAGAAGUGCGAAUGCUGACAUAAGUAACGAUAAUGCGGGUGAAAAACCCGCACGCCGGAAGACCAAGGGUUCCUGUCCAACGUUAAUCGGGGCAGGGUGAGUCGACCCCUAAGGCGAGGCUGAAAAGCGUAGUCGAUGGGAAACGGGUUAAUAUUCCCGUACUGGUGGUAACUGCGAUGGGGGAACGGAGAAGGCUAGGUUGUCCGGGCGACGGUCGUCCCGGUUCAAGCAGGUAGGCAGAGUGAUUAGGCAAAUCCGGUCACUUAAUGCUGAGAUGUGAUGACGAACCACCAAGGUGGUGAAGCAAUUGAUGCCCCGCUUCCAGGAAAAGCCUCUAAGCUUCAGGUUACCAACAAUCGUACCCCAAACCGACACAGGUGGUCAGGUAGAGAAUACUCAGGCGCUUGAGAGAACUCGGGUGAAGGAACUAGGCAAAAUGGUGCCGUAACUUCGGGAGAAGGCACGCUGGCGGUAGGUAAAGUCCCUCGCGGACGGCGCCCAAGCCAGUCGAAGAUACCAGCUGGCUGCAACUGUUUAUUAAAAACACAGCACUGUGCAAACACGAAAGUGGACGUAUACGGUGUGACGCCUGCCCGGUGCUGGAAGGUUAAUUGAUGGGGU
rnacentral:rRNA from 1 species